rnacentral:rRNA from 1 species
AGAGUUUGAUCCUGGCUCAGGACGAACGCUGGCGGCGUGGAUUAGGCAUGCAAGUCGAACGGUAUGGUGCUUUCGGGCAUCAGAGAGCGGCGAACGGGUGAGUAACACGUAGGUGAUCUACCCUCAAGACGGGGACAACCCAGGGAAACUUGGGCUAAUACCGGAUGAUAGCAGCAGUGAUGUUGUUUAAAAGAUGGCUUUCGGGCUGUCGUUUGGGGAUGAGCCUGCGUCCUAUUAGCUAGUUGGUGUGGUAAAGGCACACCAAGGCGAUGAUAGGUAGGCGGCCUUAACGGGUGGUCGCCCACACUGGGAUUGAGAUACGGCCCAGACUCCUACGGGAGGCAGCAGUCGAGAAUAGUCUACAAUGGUCGGAAGACUGAUAGUGCGACGCCGCGUGAACGAGGAAGCCCUUCGGGGUGUAAAGUUCUUUUAUAUGUGAGCAGUGGGUUCUACGUUAAUAGCGUGGGAUCAGGGAUAUUAGCAUAUGAAUAAGCAACGGCUAACUCCGUGCCAGCAGCCGCGGUAACACGGGGGUUGCGAGCGUUGUCCGGAAUUACUAGGCGUAAAGGGCAGGUAGGCGGAUCUAUAAGUUUUUUGUCAAAUUCAACGGCUCACCCGUUGCUCGGCAGGAGAUACUGUAGAUCUGGAAUGCGGUUGGGGAAGACAGAAUUCCUGGUGUAGCGGUGGAAUGCGCAGAGAUCAGGAGGAAUACCUAAGGCGAAGGCAGUCUUCUAAGCCGUAAUUGACGCUAAACUGCGAAGGUGUGGGUAUCAAACAGGAUUAGAUACCCUGGUAGUCCACACAGUAAACGAUAAUCACUGGGUGUCGGGUUCGUAGAGGAUUCGGUGCCGUAGCUAACGCGAUAAGUGAUUCGCCUGGGGAGUACGAUCGCAAGGUUGAAACUCAAAUGAAUUGACGG